rnacentral:rRNA from 1 species
GUGCCUAAUACAUGCAAGUCGAGCGAGCUUGCCUAGAUGAUUUUAGUGCUUGCACUAAAUGAAACUAGAUACAAGCGAGCGGCGGACGGGUGAGUAACACGUGGGUAACCUGCCCAAGAGACUGGGAUAACACCUGGAAACAGAUGCUAAUACCGGAUAACAACACUAGACGCAUGUCUAGAGUUUGAAAGAUGGUUCUGCUAUCACUCUUGGAUGGACCUGCGGUGCAUUAGCUAGUUGGUAAGGUAAUGGCUUACCAAGGCGAUGAUGCAUAGCCGAGUUGAGAGACUGAUCGGCCACAUUGGGACUGAGACACGGCCCAAACUCCUACGGGAGGCAGCAGUAGGGAAUCUUCCACAAUGGACGAAAGUCUGAUGGAGCAACGCCGCGUGAGUGAAGAAGGGUUUCGGCUCGUAAAGCUCUGUUGGUAGUGAAGAAAGAUAGAGGUAGUAACUGGCCUUUAUUUGACGGUAAUUACUUAGAAAGUCACGGCUAACUACGUGCCAGCAGCCGCGGUAAUACGUAGGUGGCAAGCGUUGUCCGGAUUUAUUGGGCGUAAAGCGAGUGCAGGCGGUUCAAUAAGUCUGAUGUGAAAGCCUUCGGCUCAACCGGAGAAUUGCAUCAGAAACUGUUGAACUUGAGUGCAGAAGAGGAGAGUGGAACUCCAUGUGUAGCGGUGGAAUGCGUAGAUAUAUGGAAGAACACCAGUGGCGAAGGCGG